GAUGAACGCUGGCGGCGUGCCUAAUACAUGCAAGUCGAGCGAACAGACGAGGAGCUUGCUCCUCUGACAUUAGCGGCGGACGGGUGAGUAACACGUGGAUAACCUACCUAUAAGACUGGGAUAACUUCGGGAAACCGGAGCUAAUACCGGAUAAUAUAUUGAACCGCAUGGUUCAAUAGUGAAAGACGGUUUUGCUGUCACUUAUAGAUGGAUCCGCGCCGCAUUAGCUAGUUGGUAAGGUAACGGCUUACCAAGGCGACGAUGCGUAGCCGACCUGAGAGGGUGAUCGGCCACACUGGAACUGGGACACGGUCCAGACUCCUACGGGAGGCAGCAGUAGGGAAUCUUCCGCAAUGGGCGAAAGCCUGACGGAGCAACGCCGCGUGAGUGAUGAAGGUCUUCGGAUCGUAAAACUCUGUUAUUAGGGAAGAACAAAUGUGUAAGUAACUAUGCACGUCUUGACGGUACCUAAUCAGAAAGCCACGGCUAACUACGUG
rnacentral:rRNA from 1 species